GACGAGGGGUCCUAGCGUUGUUCGGAAUUACUGGGCGUAAAGCGCAUGUAGGCGGCUUUUCAAGUCAGAUGUGAAAGCCUCGGGCUCAACCUGAGAAGUGCAUUUGAUACUGUUAAGCUUGAAUAUGGGAGAGGGUAGUAGAAUUCCUGGUGUAGUGGUGAAAUACGUAGAUAUCAGGAGGAAUACCGGUGGCGAAGGCGGCUCGCUGGGACGGUACUGACGCUGAGGCGCGAAAGCGUGGGGAGCAAACAGG
rnacentral:rRNA from 1 species